rnacentral:rRNA from 1 species
UGGUGGAGUGAUUUGUCUGGUUAAUUCCGAUAACGAACGAGACCCCGUCCUACUUACUAGACUUGAGAUGAUUUUCAUCUCUUGAAUCUUCUUAGAGGGACGACUGGCGUAAAUCUAGCUACAUGAAAUGGGGCAAUAACA